AUUGAACGCUGGCGGCAUGCUUUACACAUGCAAGUCGAACGGCAGCGCGGGCUUCGGCCUGGCGGCGAGUGGCGAACGGGUGAGUAAUGCAUCGGAACGUGCCCAGUAGUGGGGGAUAGCCCGGCGAAAGCCGGAUUAAUACCGCAUACGACCUGAGGGUGAAAGCGGGGGACCGAAAGGCCUCGCGCUAUUGGAGCGGCCGAUGUCGGAUUAGCUAGUUGGUGGGGUAAAGGCUUACCAAGGCGACGAUCCGUAGCUGGUCUGAGAGGACGACCAGCCACACUGGGACUGAGACACGGCCCAGACUCCUACGGGAGGCAGCAGUGGGGAAUUUUGGACAAUGGGGGCAACCCUGAUCCAGCCAUGCCGCGUGCGGGAAGAAGGCCUUCGGGUUGUAAACCGCUUUUGUUCGGGAAGAAAUCCUCUGGGCUAAUACCCCGGGGGGAUGACGGUACCGGAAGAAGAAGCACCGGCUAACUACGU
rnacentral:rRNA from 1 species